rnacentral:rRNA from 1 species
AUUGAACGCUGGCGGCAGGCCUAACACAUGCAAGUCGAACGAGUGGCGGACGGGUGAGUAAUGUCUGGGAAACUGCCCGAUGGAGGGGGAUAACUACUGGAAACGGUAGCUAAUACCGCAUACCAUCGGAUGUGCCCAGAUGGGAUUAGCUAGUUGGUGAGGUAACGGCUCACCAAGGCGACGAUCCCUAGCUGGUCUGAGAGGAUGACGAGCCACACUGGAACUGAGACACGGUCCAGACUCCUACGGGAGGGAGCAGUGGGGAAUAUUGCACAAUGGGCGAAAGCCUGAUGCAGCAAUGCCGCGUGUAUGAAGAAGGCCUUCGGGUUGUAAAGUACUUUCAGCGGGGAGGCGUUACCCGAAGAAGAAGCACCGGCUAACUCCGUGCCAGCAGCCGCGGUAAUUC